AGAGUUUGAUCCUGGACUCAGGAUGAACGCUAGCGGGAGGCCUAACACAUGCAAGCCGAGCGGUAGAGAUUCUUCGGAAUCUUGAGAGCGGCGUACGGGUGUGGAACACGUGUGCAACCUACCUUUAUCUGGAGGAUAGCCUUUCGAAAGGAAGAUUAAUACUCCAUAAUAUAUUGAUUGGCAUCAAUUGAUAUUGAAAGCUCCGGCGGAUAGAGAUGGGCACGCGCAAGAUUAGUUAGUUGGUGAGGUAACGGCUCACCAAGACGAUGAUCUUUAGGGGCCUGAGAGGGUGAUCCCCCACACUGGUACUGAGACACGGACCAGACUCCUACGGGAGGCAGCAGUGAGGAAUAUUGGUCAAUGGGUGCAAGCCUGAACCAGCCAUCCCGCGUGAAGGACGACUGCCCUAUGGGUUGUAAACUUCUUUUGUAUAGGGAUAAACCUACCCUCGUGAGGGUAGCUGAAGGUACUAUACGAAUAAGCACCGGCUAACUCCGUG
rnacentral:rRNA from 1 species